GCCUAAAAUCUAGCCCACAAAUUCACAUGCCCACCCGCUACCAAAACAACCAAAUAAAACAUUUUAACACCUUAGUACAGGCGAUCGAAAAACUUCUAAGCGCUUCAGAUAAAGUACCGCAAGGGAAAUAUGAAAUAGAAAUGAAAUAACCCUAAAGCCCCAAACAGCAGAGACAACACCUCG
rnacentral:rRNA from 1 species